ACGCUGGCGGCGUGCUUAACACAUGCAAGUCGAACGGAAAGGCCCUGCUUUUGUGGGGUGCUCGAGUGGCGAACGGGUGAGUAACACGUGAGUAACCUGCCCUUGACUUUGGGAUAACUUCAGGAAACUGGGGCUAAUACCGGAUAGGAGCUCCUGCUGCAUGGUGGGGGUUGGAAAGUUUCGGCGGUUGGGGAUGGACUCGCGGCUUAUCAGCUUGUUGGUGGGGUAGUGGCUUACCAAGGCUUUGACGGGUAGCCGGCCUGAGAGGGUGACCGGCCACAUUGGGACUGAGAUACGGCCCAGACUCCUACGGGAGGCAGCAGUGGGGAAUAUUGCACAAUGGGCGGAAGCCUGAUGCAGCAACGCCGCGUGCGGGAUGACGGCCUUCGGGUUGUAAACCGCUUUCGCCUGUGACGAAGCGUGAGUGACGGUAAUGGGUAAAGAAGCACCGGCUAACUACGUGCCAGCAGCCGCGGUGAUACGUAGGGUGCGAGCGUUGUCCGGAUUUAUUGGGCGUAAAGGGCUCGUAGGUGGUUGAUCGCGUCGGAAGUGUAAUCUUGGGGCUUAACCCUGAGCGUGCUUUCGAUACGGGUUGACUUGAGGAAGGUAGGGGAGAAUGGAAUUCCUGGUGGAGCGGUGGAAUGCGCAGAUAUCAGGAGGAACACCAGUGGCGAAGGCGGUUCUCUGGGCCUUUCCUGACGCUGAGGAGCGAAAGCGUGGGGAGCGAACAGGCUUAGAUACCCUGGUAGUCCACGCUGUAAACGGUGGGUACUAGGUGUGGGGUCCAUUCCACGGGUUCCGUGCCGUAGCUAACGCUUUAAGUACCCCGCCUGGGGAGUACGGCCGCAAGGCUAAAACUCAAAGGAAUUGACGGGGCCCCGCACAAGCGGCGGAGCAUGCGGAUUAAUUCGAUGCAACGCGUAGAACCUUACCUGGGUUUGACAUGGAUCGGGAGUGCUCAGAGAUGGGUGUGCCUCUUUUGGGGUCGGUUCACAGGUGGUGCAUGCCUGUCGUCAGCUCGUGUCGUGAGAUGUUGGGUUAAGUCCCGCAACGAGCGCAACCCUUGUUCACUGUUGCCAGCACGUUAUGGUGGGGACUCAGUGGAGACCGCCGGGGUCAACUCGGAGGAAGGUGGGGAUGACGUCAAGUCCUCAUGCCCCUUAUGUCCAGGGCUUCGCGCAUGCUACAAUGGCUGGUACAGAGAGUGGCGCGCCUGUGAGGGUGAGCGAAUCUCGGAAAGCCGGUCUCAGUUCGGAUUGGGGUCUGCAACUCGACCUCAUGAAGUCGGAGUCGCUAGUAAUCGCAGAUCAGCAACGCUGCGGUGAAUACGUUCCCGGGGCUUGUACACACCGCCCGUCAAGUCAUGAAAGUUGGUAACACCCGAAGCCGGUGGCCUAACCGUUGUGGGGGAGCCGUCGAAGGUGGGACUGGUGAUUAG
rnacentral:rRNA from 1 species